ACUGGGCAUGGUGGCACAUGCCUGUAAUCCCAGCAACUCUGGAGGCUAAGGCAGGAGGAUCACAAGUUCAAGGCCAGCCUGGGCAACUUAUCGAGGUCCUGAGUAACUUAGUGAGACCCCUUUU
rnacentral:sRNA from 1 species